UUUGGUGUCAUGACAAUCAAUUAUAUGACAAAUGCUGUCCACUUAAAGAAUACACAAGAAAACUGAAGUAUGGCAAUUGUCCAUGGAUCACAAAAGGUUUACAAAAUGCCUGCAAGAAGAAAAAUGUGCUAUACAGAGAAUUCAUAAGACUGAGAGCUAAAGAGGCAGAAAAUAAAUAUAAACGAUAUAGAAAUAAAUUAACAAAUAUCAUAAGGUCUAGCAAAAAAGAUUAUUAUAGGACAUUAUUAGAUAAUAACAAACAUAAUAUAAAGGGAAUGUGGGGUAUACUAAACAGCAUUAUAAGAAGUAUUUCUAAACAGUUACAAUAUCGUGAGUAUUCUAUUGAUGAGGGUAAUGUAAUUUGUAAUAAAAAUG